GGCCAGCGAAGCGUACCUGGUGGGCUUGUUCGAAGACACCAACCUGUGUGCCAUCCACGCCAAGAGAGUCACCAUCAUGCCCAAAGACAUCCAGUUGGCUCGCCGGAUACGGGGGGAGCGAGCUUAAGCGGAGGGCCGUUUUUAUGGUGUUUUGUAGUAAAUCCUGAUGAAUGCGGAAAGUGACUGCCCACGGCGCUCGGUGCUGUGGGCAUUGUCGCUCGGGAGUGCGACCUUGCUGAUCAGCAGAAGGGAUGGGUGACGACUUCCUGCUUCUCAUGAUGCAUGUUUCUGUAUGUUAAUGACUUGUUGGGUAGCUAUUGAGGUACUAGAAUCGAUAAUGUGUACAGGGUCCUUUUGCAAUAAAACUGGUUAUGACUUGA